GACGAACGCUGGCGGCGUGCUUAACACAUGCAAGUCGAGCGGAGCAGCUAACGGGUGAGUAACGCGGUAGUAACUGUCCCCCUCCCUGGGAUAACAGUUGGAAACGGCUGCUAAUACCCGAUAGUGGAGGAUGACUCGCGUCCUAUCAGCUGGUUGGUGGGGUAGUGGCCUACCAAGUCGACGACGUGUAGCCUGCCUGCGAGGGAGACCGGCCACAUUGGUCUCAGAUACCAGCCGAACUGCUACUGGAGGCAGCAGUGGGUAAUAUUGCACAAUGGGGGAAGCCCGGAUGCAGCACCGCCGCGUGGUGGAUGACGGCUUUCGGGUUGUAAACCGCUUUCAGCGAUGACGCGGUAGUGGCAUAAGAAGCAACGGCUAACUACGUGCCAGCCGCCGCGGUAAUAC
rnacentral:rRNA from 1 species